CCAGCCGUGGCCUACUGGUUAGCGCGUCGGACUUGUAAUCGGAGGGUUGCCGGUUGGAACCCCGACCAUUAGGA
rnacentral:tRNA from 1 species